GAUGAACGCUGGCGGCGUGCCUAAUACAUGCAAGUCGAGCGAACAGACGAGGAGCUUGCUCCUCUGACGUUAGCGGCGGACGGGUGAGUAACACGUGGAUAACCUACCUAUAAGACUGGGAUAACUUCGGGAAACCGGAGCUAAUACCGGAUAAUAUAUUGAACCGCAUGGUUCAAUAGUGAAAGACGGUUUUGCUGUCACUUAUAGAUGGAUCCGCGCCGCAUUAGCUAGUUGGUAAGGUAACGGCUUACCAAGGCAACGAUGCGUAGCCGACCUGAGAGGGUGGACGGCCAACCUGGAACUGGGACACGGUCCAGACUCCUACGGGAGGCAGCAGUAGGGAAUCUUCCGCAAUGGGGGAAAGCCUGAAGGAGCAACGCCGGGGGGGUGAUGAAGGUCUUCGGAUCGUAAAACUCUUUUAUUAGGGAAAAACAAAUGGGUAAGUAACUAUGCACGUUUUGACGGUAACUAAUCAGAAAGCCACGGCGAACUAAG
rnacentral:rRNA from 1 species